rnacentral:rRNA from 1 species
AGUGAACGCUGGCGGCGUGCUAACACAUGCAAGUCGAACGAGAACGGAUUAUAGCUUGCUAUAAUUGUCAGCUAAGUGGCGCACGGGUGAGUAAUGUAUAGGUAAUAUGCCUCUUACUAAGGGAUAACAAAUGGAAACGUUUGCUAAUACCUUAUACUCCUUAUUAACAGAAGUUAAUAAGGGAAAGAUUUAUUGGUAAGAGAUUAGCCUGAAUCGUAUCAGUUAGUUGGUGGGGUAAUGGCUUACCAAGACUAUGACACAUAACUGGUUUGAGAGGAUGAUCAGUCACACUGGAACUGAGACACGGUCCGGACUCCUACGGGAGGCAGCAGUGGGGAAUAUUGCACAAUGGACGAAAGUCUGAUGCAGCAACGCCGCGUGGAGGAUGACACAUUUCGGUGCGUAAACUCCUUUUAUAUGAGAAGAUAAUGACGGUAUUAUAUGAAUAAGCACCGGCUAACUCCGUGCCAGCAGCCGCGGUAA